rnacentral:lncRNA from 1 species
CGGGGAGCCACGUGGCCGGCCGUUACGCUCUGCUGGAACUCCCUCACGGAGAAGCCACCCCGCCCCUGCCUAUAAAGCCACGCACUGGACGCGGGUACAGUGUACAGACUCUCAGCUCUCAUCAAGACGCUGCCUCAUUCUCAUCAGGACGUCAUGAAGGCUCUCGUGUUACCGCUGCUGCUGCUGCUGGGCGUGUUGGCGCUGUCGGCGGCGGUGCCCGCCCCCCCGGUUCGCCCCCAGCCGCUUCCGCUGCCCCUGAGGCAGGCCUCGCCCGCUGCCACCCCCGAGCCGGCCGGCCGCGAGUCGCUGGCGCCCAGCGAGCAGUUCUACUACGGCUACUACUACCCUGCCUACUCAUACUACCUGCUCGGCUAGGCGGCCUGCUCACUGCACCGGACUGACUGCCACCACCGGACGAACGACCCUGUAACGCCAACGCUGUUUUAUCGCAUCAAUAAAGUAUUGUGAAUCGGCA